rnacentral:rRNA from 1 species
CAGAGGGUGCAAGCGUUAAUCGGAAUUACUGGGCGUAAAGCGCGCGUAGGUGGUUUGUUAAGUUGAAUGUGAAAUCCCCGGGCUCAACCUGGGAACUGCAUCCAAAACUGGCAAGCUAGAGUAGGGCAGAGGGUGGUGGAAUUUCCUGUGUAGCGGUGAAAUGCGUAGAUAUAGGAAGGAACACCAGUGGCGAAGGCGACCACCUGGGCUCAUACUGACACUGAGGUGCGAAAGCGUGGGGAGCAAACAGGAUU